rnacentral:rRNA from 1 species
GACGAACGCUGGCGGCGUGCUUAACACAUGCAAGUCGAACGGAAAGGCCCUGCUUUUGUGGGGUGCUCGAGUGGCGAACGGGUGAGUAACACGUGAGUAACCUGCCCUUGACUUUGGGAUAACUUCAGGAAACUGGGGCUAAUACCGGAUAGGAGCUCCUGCUGCAUGGUGGGGGUUGGAAAGUUUCGGCGGUUGGGGAUGGACUCGCGGCUUAUCAGCUUGUUGGUGGGGUAGUGGCUUACCAAGGCUUUGACGGGUAGCCGGCCUGAGAGGGUGACCGGCCACAUUGGGACUGAGAUACGGCCCAGACUCCUACGGGAGGCAGCAGUGGGGAAUAUUGCCCAAUGGGCGGAAGCCUGAUGCAGCAACGCCGCGUGCGGGAUGACGGCCUUCGGGUUGUAACCCGCUUUCGCCUGUGACGAAGCGUGAGUGACGGUAAUGGGUAAAGAAGCACCGGCUAACUACGUG